ensembl:snRNA U2 U2 spliceosomal RNA
AUCCCUUAUCAGCCUUUGGGCUAAGAUCAAGUGUGGUAUCUGUUCUUAUCAAUUUAAUAAUAAUGUAUCAGUAUUGGUUCAUUAAUUUUAACAAACUUACCUCACGAAUUCAAGAUGUUCAUGAUUGGGGAAACUCUGU